UCCGAAUUGGUGUAGUGGCUAACAUUUGACGCUCUCAUUAUUCAAGGUGACAGGAACCGUCAAGCCCGGGGUUCGAUUCCCCGAUUCGGAG